CUUGGGUCAGACUACCGGCGGCGACGACCACGGGAGCAUGGCGGACACCGACCUGUUCAUGGAAUGUGAGGAGGAGGAGUUGGAGCCAUGGCAGAAAAUCAGUGAUGUCAUUGAGGACUCUGUAGUUGAAGAUUAUAAUUCAGUGGAUAAAACUACCACAGCUGGCAAUCCUUUGGUCCAGCAAGGUGGACAGCCACUCAUCCUGACCCAGAAUCCAGCCCCAGGUCUGGGCACAAUGGUUACUCAACCAGUAUUGAGGCCUGUUCAGGUCAUGCAGAAUGCCAAUCAUGUGACUAGUUCCCCUGUGGCCUCACAACCAAUAUUUAUCACUACGCAGGGAUUUCCUGUAAGGAAUGUCCGGCCUGUACAAAAUGCAAUGAAUCAGGUUGGGAUUGUGCUGAACGUACAGCAAGGCCAAACGGUUAGACCAAUUACACUAGUUCCAGGUAAGGAAAAAUGUCUAUCCAUUUGGAAUAAACCGGCAUCCAGAAGAUUUGUUUUUAUUGUUCUAAAUAUCCUAAGUCAUUUAGUAAGUAUAUUUAAAGAAAAUCUAAAAAUAUAAAAAUAUUAAUGAUUUAAGCCCAAUUUAAAAAAAUCUGUUUCUAACCUUUGGCCAGGGUGGUGGUUUUAUUUAUUUCUGUUUAACUUU
rnacentral:sRNA from 1 species